AAAAAAAUCCAGGAAAAACAACCUGGAACAGCUACUGUCUUUUAAGAGUUGGGAAAGAGAGACAUCCCUGGUGGCGCAGUGGUAAAGGCUCUGCCAGGGUUUGAUCCCCGCUUGGGGCAGAUCCUGCGGACAUGCCGAGAAGCAGCUCAGCCUGUGCUCUGGAGCCCGGGAACCGCAGACACCGAGUCCAUGCGCUGCAGCUGCCGAAGCCCUCGGGCCCCGGGGCCUGUGCUCCGCAACGAGAAGCCACUGCGAGGAGGAGCUGGAGCACCGCAGCCGGAUGGUAGCCCCUGCUCACGGCAGCAAGAGAAGAGGCCGUGCAGCCACAAAGACCCAGCACAGCGCAACCAGGGCACCACUCCCAAAGGCAGCCCAAGCAUCUGCUUCAAGGAGAAUUCAGGAGGCAGUGUACAUGUUUUUAUUUUCAAAAGCCUCACUCUUCAUUAGACUGAAUGGUAGAAUGCUUUAAAAAAGCACAACUGGGGAUUUAAAGUUCCCCUUUUCAUCUUUAUUUCCUCAGGGAGAAAAAAAUGCUGGUGGUUGACAUUGCGAAGGCAAGGCCUCAAGAGUUAGGUAGGAGGAUCUAUAUAUAUAUAUCUCUGUGAUCAACAGCCCUGCUUCCUCGCCUCCUUAGCUGCUAGAGACAGGCUGCUGCUUCCAGAUGUGGGAAGGGGUGGUGCGUGUGAGCAAACGCCUGGUGCACAGCACAGAGCUCCAAAUCAUUUGCCCAACAGGCUUCUUCUAUGGAUGAUCUCUCAGGUUUGUUAGAAGCAGCUCUGGAAAUCCGGAUCAGUAAACUGCAAAAAAGAGUCCCUUACGAACAGCAGCCGGAGACCAAGGCUGGCCUUGGACACAUGGCAAGCAGCCCUCCUCAAGCCUGUGCUGAACGGUGUCUCACCCCACCCUCAGUCAAAGAUAAGAAACAAGCAAACUGACCAUGGAUGGCUGGAGGGCAUCGACACUGACUGCAGGAUACAUGACGCUGAAAACAGGCAGCAGCCUCUUCAUAUGGAGUGUCUAGCUACUCCCUGGCUUCCCCACUGUUGUGAAGAAGAAUUUGGCUGAUCUUUGUUGCCAGUUCCUGGGAGGGAACCUCUAAACUUUCAGAACUUCCUUGAUGAUAGGAGUGUCUUUGUUAUUAAUGGUGGACCCCUUGGAUCUCAACUUUUUGCUUAAUGAGGUGACUCAUGGUGGGCCCUAGAUAGUUUCAGGAUGGGCUGGCUGUGGCUGAAAGAUCAGCCAUGAGAUUAGAAAUUUGGGGCCCUGAGUCAUCUGAUAUCUGACAUCCUGGGGUGGGGAGAGGAGAAGGUGGAGAUUGAGUUCAAUCACAUAGUUUCUGGUCGGUGACAGACAGUGAUAUGCUGGGCGGGUGAUGCAUCCUGGGGACACAGAAGUAGCAGGUUGGAUACCUUUGCAGACCUUGCCCUAUAUGUCCUUUCUUUUAUCUGGUCCUUAUUUGUAUCUUUUACAAUAAAAGGCAUUCAAAGUA